rnacentral:rRNA from 1 species
AGUGGACGCUGGCGGUAGGCCUAACACAUGCAAGUCGAACGGCAGCACAGUAAGAGCUUGCUCUUACGGGUGGCGGGUGGCGGACGGGUGAGGAAUACAUCGGAAUCUACUUUUUCGUGGGGGAUAACGUAGGGAAACUUACGCCAAUACCGCAUACGACCUACGGGUGAAAGCAGGGGAUCUUCGGACCUUGCGCGAUUGAAUGAGCCGAUGUCGGAUUAGCUAGUUGGCGGGGUAAAGGCCCACCAAGGCGACGAUCCGUAGCUGGUCUGAGAGGAUGAUCAGCCACACUGGAACUGAGACACGGUCCAGACUCCUACGGGAGGCAGCAGUGGGGAAUAUUGGACAAUGGGCGCAAGCCUGAUCCAGCCAUACCGCGUGGGUGAAGAAGGCCUUCGGGUUGUAAAGCCCUUUUGUUGGGAAAGAAAAGCAGCAGGUUAAUACCCCGCUGUUCUGACGGUACCCAAAGAAUAAGCACCGGCUAACUUCGUG